rnacentral:ncRNA from 1 species
CACUCAAAACACGGGAGUCCCGGGCGAGCGGGGCUGAGAGUGGGCGCCACCAGAGCAACUGGACCCGCCCUUACCGUCACACCUGAUCCGGAUCAUGCCGGCGAAGGGAGGCCAACAAUGGCGACG